rnacentral:rRNA from 1 species
CACGUAGGGUCCGAGCGUUGUCCGGAAUUACUGGGCGUAAAGCGUGCGCAGGCGGUUGGGUCAGUCGCUGGUGAAAGCCCCACGCUCAACGUGGGAAUGGCCAACGAGACGGCCCGACUGGAGGCAGGGAGAGGCCGGUGGAAUUCCGGGUGUAGUGGUGAAAUGCGUAGAGAUCGGGAGGAACAUCUGUGGCGAAGGCGGCCAUCUGGACCAGCACUGACACUGAGGCACGAAAGCGUGGGGAGCAAACAGG